CCAGAGUUUUCUGAACUCUCUCCCUCAAUGGCUGUUCAUAUAAUAUAUGCUGCUACUUUGCAGCUUAAUUAAAUAACAGCUUUGGGGGUUUGAGUCCAGAAAACUCUUG
rnacentral:pre_miRNA from 1 species